rnacentral:rRNA from 1 species
UACGUAGGUGGCGAGCGUUGUCCGGAUUUACUGGGCGUAAAGAGCGCGCAGGCGGCCAAGUCAGUCGAAUGUGAAAGCCCCCGGCUUAACUGGGGAGGGUCAUUCGAUACUGCUCAGCUCGAAGACAGGAGAGGGAAGCGGAAUUCCCGGUGUAGUGGUGAAAUGCGUAGAUAUUGGGAAGAACACCAGUGGCGAAGGCGGUUCUCUGGGACGGUACUGACGCUGAGACGCGAAAGCGUGGGGAGCGAACAGG